GGCUAGUGACGUGCUGAAGGAUUGGUGGGCAGACCAACAGCCUGCUAAACUAGGCUUGUUGCUGGAUGUUCUCCGGCUGUGCAUCACUCUGUUCGAGUAUGGUGGCAAGGUGCAGAAGUCUUCGCAGUUUCCAACCGCUCCAAGACCGAGGGCGCAGCAGGAUCUAAAAGCAAAAAUAGAAGAGAUGUUGCUUGGAAAUAAGGGAGCCGCUAGGAAAAUGAUGCAGCGACAUAGCAGAGUGACGUUAG